UGGAGCUCCAGUGCCCUGGGAGGGGAGAGGAGAAGCCUGACCUUGAGCACAGCUCCAGCCUCCACUCCCCACCCCUAUCGCAGGCUCUGGGCUGUGGUUUCAUUUUCCCCAGUUCUCUAACUUCUCAGGAAGCCCAGAGUUUCUCCCUAAAGAAAGGUGGCCCUGCACUCUUUCCUCUCCUCCAAAAUUAGGCUUCAGUAGUUGUCCUCUAAGUUGAUAUUUAGACCUUAAAAUCUAGACUUCUUGGAUCAACAAGAAAUACGCAGGAAGUUCCACAUGAUCUCGUGUGAUAGCACGUAACUUAGUGCUACAGGUGACAGUUUUAUUUUUGGAGGAGUCUUAUUUUACAUAGGGAAAUAGAAAACUAAGUGGCUUCCCUUGAGGCAGCCCGAGGGCUCCACUGGACCCAGAACUCUGAGUUCUGAUGCUGCCUAUCAUUUGCUUUUCCUCAUGAGCUCCUGGACCACCUCAUAUCACCAGCACCCUCUACCCAAGGUCCUGGAGCCAACACUGGAGUAAAAGAGCACAAGAGAACUCCUUAGAGGUGGAAGUGGCUGGAAGUUGCAGAGGUUUCAGAAGCUCAUCCAAGAUUCUGGAGCCUCCAUCUCCAGCCCUAAUGCUGUCCGCCUUUUCACCCAGCCACCACCUGUUUCAGGAGAACACACAGAAGUGAUGACCUUUUCUGGACAGGAUACCCUCUGAGGUCAAAUCAUUGGGCUUGUGGCCAUGAGACCACAGACUUUGCCUGGCUUCCAGUGACUGUCCGAGAUGACCUGUGGAGUGCACCGCCUGUACUUGGACAUCACUGUCUUUUCGGAUCCAUACCCGUCAUCCUUGGAAUUUCCCCUGCAUCCAAACCUGUUCCUGAUACAGGUAUAACCCUAAGGAAUAUCUUGGAUGUCUUCACGGGGCUUAUGACUUAUUCUGAGGUUUACAAAAUAGAGGCCCCCAGCUGAGCAAAGAGAGGGCUGCAGCGCCGAGGGAACAGCUGCCGGACUCACCGGAGAGGCCUCCUGGAGCACGCCGGGACCCCCUCCACCCCCUGGCUUUGGCUGCAUCAAUGGCUAGUUUGCCUGAACUAUAUCUGAGCCACUGAGAGUAUUUAUUAAGCAGAGAAUAAUUUUGAGUUUCACUUUUAUAACUUUUGUUUCAAAAGUUGUUUUGGAUAAUUUAAUGAAAUGACUGUAAACCAGAAUUCCCCUUUUCAUUAUUUCUUUGUGUCAAUAUAAAAAGAGUUGAUGAUUUUAAAAGCCAGUGAGAUGUCCCUGUCUGUGGAUGUCAGCGGGAGGGUGGGGUCUGACGCCUUUCUCUGGUGGCUGUCCAGGAAGAUUGCCCCAGCUUGCACUCCCUUUUGGCGGGUUCCAGAGCCUUCCAUUUGAAAGGAGCAUCUCUCACCACUCUGCCCCACCCAGCACCAGCUCUUCUGGAACCCACUGACUUCCUAAACACUUUCUUCCUCCUUCACCUCAUUGAAUUCAAGACUUUAGAAAACAGCCAAAAACUCUAGAGGUGGGGGUGGGUUCGAUCUGGAAAUCCCUGCUGUAAUCUUUUUAAGGGAAUCCACUGGAAAUUAUUAAUUUAUGUUUUAAAUAAAACCAUUCCUUACUUAACAGAAUAUUAAGCCACUCAUUUUUUUAACAGAACUUUCGAGAUAUAAUUAAAAUGCCAUAAAUUUCACCCCCACACAGUGUACAAUUCCAAGGUUUCCAAUAUAGUCACAGAAGUCUCUGCAACAAUUACCACAAUUUUAGACAUGAAGACCAUUUGUUGGCAGCCCUACCUGCCUCUAUGUGUAUGUAUAUAAUUUUAAUAUUGGAUUGGAUACUAUAGUAAUAUUGUACUGUUACCUAUUUGUGUUUUUAUAUUGCUGUUUUAUUUUAUUCAGAUGAAUAAUAAUUAUCUCCAUAUAGUCAUACAUUUAUAUAGGGUUAAACACACCUUUUUACAAUUCAAUAAAUUAAAUUGGUCAGGUAUGGUGGCUCACGCCUGUAAUCCCAGCACUUUGGGAGGCCAAGGCGGGUGGAUCACCUGAGGUUGGGAGUUUGAGACCAGCGUGAUCAACAUGGAGAAACCCUGUCUGUACUAAAAAUACAAAAAAUUAGCCAGGCAUGGUGGCACAUGCCUGUAAUCCCAGCUACUUGGGAGGCUGAGGCAGGAGAAUCACUCGAACCAAGGAGGCGGACAUUGCGGUGAGCCAGGAUCGCACCAUUGCACUCCAGCCUGGGCAACAAGAGCAAAACUCCAUCUCAAGAAGAAAAAAAAAAAAAAAGUAAAUUGUUUUUAAUUACAUAAGAAACACGUGUUAUUGUUAUAGAAAUUCACAUAGUGCUUCGGUCUAUAGAAUAAAUGUAUCCCCACCACCUCCCAGCCCACCCACUCGUCUGCAUUCACCUACACACAGUUAAACAUGCACAUAUGUUUCCGUGACACGAUCUUGCUUUGCAUAUUGUUCACUGACUGGCUUUUCCAUAUAAGAUUUAAUUUGGUGAUUAUUGCUUAUCAGUACCUAUAGGUCUCUCUCAUUAUUAUUUAUAAUUACAUCAUUAUUCCAUAGGGUAUUUUACCACAAUUUGGUCACUUUUUCACUGAGGAAUUUUUAUGUCAGUUUCAGUUAUUUGUUAUUGUUACCAAUGCUGUACUGGGCAUCCCUGUAUAUCCACCUUUUUGUUGCAUUAGUUAAGUGGUUUUUUCCUUUUAUGAUUGAUUUCUAAAAAUAAAAUACUGCAGCAAAUGUUAAUGUUUAAUAUUUUCAUAAAAUUAAAAAUCUGUGUUCCAAAAAGAAAUCAAUGGUUUAUACUUCUACCAUCAAUGUAUGAGAAUUCCUAUUUCCCCACACCCUUAAUUACAUAGGAAAUUAUCAAUGUUUGCCAAUUUUAUGAUUUUAAAAUAUUUUUACUUUUAAUUUGGAUUUCUCCACUUAUUAGGGAGAUUGUGCAUAUUUGUGUAUGUGUGUUGGCCGUUUGUAUUUCUCCCUGUGAUUUUCAUAAUGAUACGUUUUCCUAGUUUUCUAAUUCAUUUAGUGAUAUUCUUUAUAUGUUCUGCACAUUUAUUAUUUCCAUAUAAUUACUGAGUUUUUUUUAAGGUCUGUGUCAUAACUUUUACUUUGUUUAUAUUGUUUUUGUUUUGAAGAAGGUUUUCUUUUUACAUAGUCAAAUUUUCAAUAUUUUCCUUACCAUUUCUGGAUUUUGUGACAGGCUUUCAAUAGUUGGUCCUUCUAGGGCUUUAUUGAUUUGUUUUGUUUUAAAGAACAUGCUCAAAUCCUACAUUAUAUAGUGAUUUACUUGUUCCCUUUAUAACACGUGGUAGACAUUACUAGUUCCAAUUAAUGUAGAUUAAAUGUAUUCUUUUCAGUUGUGUAGUAAUUCAUAGAUACGUUCUGAUUUCUUUAUUCUCUGUUAGAUGGAUAUUAAGCUUAUUUUUUAAAAUUCCCACCACUAAUGACUUUCCAGUAAUCAUCAAUAUACAUAGAUCCCCCCAAUGUUUUUGUUUUUUUGUUUUUAUGUAGUAUACGAAUCUCAAAAUGGUAUAAUUGAGCUACGAUAAAUUUAAUUAUAAUUUAAAAAAUACUGACAUUAUUUUUCACAGAGUUAAUCAGAUCACACUCUUACCAAUUACAUAAGUAGGCCUCUUCCUAUGUAGGCUCAAUAG
rnacentral:lncRNA from 10 species